GACGUAGGGGGCCAGCGUUGUUCGGAAUCACUGGGCGUAAAGGGUGCGUAGGCGGGUCUUUAAGUCAGGGGUGAAAUCCUGGAGCUCAACUCCAGAACUGCCUUUGAUACUGAGGAUCUUGAGUCCGGGAGAGGUGAGUGGAACUGCGAGUGUAGAGGUGAAAUUCGUAGAUAUUCGCAAGAACACCAGUGGCGAAGGCGGCUCACUGGCCCGGUACUGACGCUGAGGCACGAAAGCGUGGGGAGCAAACAGG
rnacentral:rRNA from 1 species